rnacentral:rRNA from 1 species
CGCAAGCCUGACGGAGCAACGCCGCGUGAGGGAGGAAGGCCUGUGGGUUGUAAACCUCUUUUCUCAGGGAAGAAGAUCUGACGGUACCUGAGGAAUCAGCAUCGGCUAACUCCGUGCCAGCAGCCGCGGUAAGACGGAGGAUGCAAGCGUUAUCCGGAAUUAUUGGGCGUAAAGCGUCCGUAGGCGGCUAAUCAAGUCUGCUGUCAAAGCCCACAGCUCAACUAUGGAGAGGCAGUGGAAACUGAAUAGCUAGAGUGUGGUAGGGGCAGAGGGAAUUCCUGGUGUAGCGGUGAAAUGCGUAGAUAUCAGGAAGAACACCAGUGGCGAAGGCGCUCUGCUGGGCCAUAACUGACGCUGAUGGACGAAAGCUAGGGGAGCG